rnacentral:lncRNA from 1 species
AUUAUUUUGCGCUCCAGAUUCACCAGAUGUUGGUGUGUUUGCGAGGAAAGCUCCUGAUGAUCACAGUAAGCUGGUUCUGAUCUGUCUGGUCACUGGUUUCUACCCCAGAGAUAUUGAGAUGAACAUCAGAUUGAACAGAAUUAAUAUUCAGAACCAAAUAUCAUCUGGAGUCAGACCCAAUGAUGAUGAAACCUUUCAGAUGAGAUCCAGAGUGAAGAUCGACAGAAACCACAGAGGAUCUUAUGACUGUCAUGUCAUUCACAGCAGUCUGACAGAACCAGUGUCAGUAAACUGGGAUGGCAGAUGUUCUGGCUGUGAUCCAGAAUCUCCGAUGUCUGUUACAGUAGGAAUAUUAAUAUCAGCUCUAGUUCUAGCUGUAGUCUUUUCUGUGAUUCGUCGCUGCAUCAACAGAAGGAAAAAGCAUCAUGGUCUGAUGAGAAGUUAUCGUUAUUAUGGAGGAACGACUGAACAGCUUCAGAUCCCCGAAGCGUCUGAUCAAGAGCUCAAUACAGACUAUUAGACACUCGAUUCUAAUUCUCCAGCUGUGUUUCCAAUCUGUGUCAGCUCUACUUUAUUAAGAAUAAAUGGUUAGUAAGAAGUUAUUGAUAAGAGGUAACAUAAAUUGCAAAACAAAAGCAGUUAUUUAUCUCAUUAUAUGAACAGUAAAUAAUAUGAGGGGAAAGUCAAAUUAAACAAAUCUUAUUGUUAUAAGAUGUAAUAUUAUUCUAAGCAGGGGAGGACUGGCCAUCUGUGGUAAUCAUCUCAUUCAGACUAUAAGUCAUACCUUAGUAUAAGUCACAUCAGUCCAAAAAUAUGUCAUGACGAGGAAAAAAAAAACAUAUAAAUCGCACUGUAUUGUAAAUCGCAUUUAUUUAGAACCAAGAACCAAGAGAAAAAAUUACCGUCUCCAGCCGCGAGAGGGCGCUGUAUGUCUUCAGUGUAAACUACAGGAGAACUGAGCAGCAUAGAGCGCCCUCUCGUGGCUGGAGACGGUAAUGUUUUCUCUUGGUUCAUUUCUCUCGGUUGAUGUCAAAUUAAUUUUGAUAAAUAAGUCGCACCUGACUAUAAGUCACUGGACCAGCCAAAUUAUGAAAAAAAGUGUGACUUACAGUCCGGAAAAUACAGUAAGUAUGGAACAUGAGAAGAGAAAGAGUUACUUGCUAGGGAUGAUGUUAGGAAGUGAUAUUCAGGUUGCUAUAUUUUUAAUAAUUACAGUAGUUAAAACAGCUAAACUUCAACAUUUUAGCUGUAAAAUGCCAAUAUAGCUAAUAUUAAGGUGCUUUUACUUUUAAAAAUGUUGGUAACGUUAAAGUUAAUGCUUACAAACUUUGAAGAUUUUGAAUACAGAAGUUACAUUUGUAAUGGUGUAUUUUCAUUUAGAUGUGGUAUUAUUAUUUGUGCAGUAAGAUUAAUGACUGCAUAAAUUAAGAUUAUUAAGUAAUAAAUUAAUUUUAAGACAGCAUGGAAUAGAUUGUAUAAUUUGCUGUUAUAACAUCAUAUUAUAUAAUCUAUUCCAUGCUAUCUUGGAAUCAAACCUUUUUAUUUUUUAAUCAUUUUCAUAAUUUGUUUAUUCAGGUUGAUUUUAGACCAAGAGCAGAGAAAGACACUCACUCCAGCUCAACUUAUUAAUUUUAAGCGCCCCAAGUCAGAUCACAUCCUAGAGUUUUUUUUGUUUUGUUUUUUUGUCAAUUUACCCUCAGAAGAAGAAAAAAUACCUGACAGUACAGAGAGUGUUUAAGUUGAGUGUUUAAAUCAACAGUACACAAAGAUCUACCCACUACGAACUCAAAUGAUUCGUGAACGCACUACGAACUCUCGAAUUGAUUCAAAUGAUUCGCGAACCCGCUUCGAACUCCCAAAAUGACUCAAAUGAUUCGCGAUCCCCAAACUGACUCAAAUGAUUCGCGAUCUCGCUGCGAACUCCCGAACUGACUCAAAUGAUUCGCGAUCUCGCUGCGAAUUCCCAAACUGACUCAAAUGAUUCGCGAACCCGCUACGAACUCCCAAACUGAUUCAAAUGAUUCGCGAUCCCCAAACUGACUCAAAUGAUUCGCGAACCCGCUACGAACUCCCGAACCGACUCAAAUGAUUUGCGAACCCGCUACGAACUCCCAAACUGACUCAAAUGAUUCGCGAACCCGCUUCAAACUCCCAAACUGACUCAAAUGAUUCGCGAUCCCCAAACUGAUUCAAAUGAUUUUCGAACCCGCUUUGAACUCCCGAACUGACUCAAAUGAUUUUCGAACCUGCUUUGAACUCCCGAACUGACUCAAAUGAUUCUGAUCCUGCUCCGAACACACGAGAACUCUUUGACCACAGCUGCUGUGCUUCAAAAGCUCCUGCUGCAGCUCAACACUGGUUUUCUCUGAGGUGGUCGGAUCACAUCAGAUUGUGGUUAAUCUUGCAGAUCAUGAUUUAUAUCUACUGUUCCUCUCUCUGCAGUUUGGUAAUAUAAAGAUUCCUCCUUUGAACUCCCACUUGAACUCCUGUUGUUCCCAUUAAUGCGCUUUUAUGCGUUAUGGUCUAUACAAACACAAAGUAAAACAGAAAGUAAUUUUCAAACACUAUUUUGAUUGAGUCAGACCAGCACAAACUGAUUACUGUAUAUCACAAGGAUUUCUGAAAUAAAUAACAAAAUACCUGAAUAAUAUAUUCAGAAUCAAAAACUAAAGUGGCUUCUGCAUCAGAAAAGCUGCUGUGUUGAGCUCUUAAAAAUGUUCCUUUCACAGCUUAAGUAUGAAAACUAUCAACAAUAGACAAUAUAACACAAAACAUUUUGAAAUAAAUGAAAGCAAUCUGAAUUAUUCAGAAUCAAUUUCGAGAAACAUACAUACAUACAUACAUACAUAUAUAUAUAUAUAUAUAUAU